AGCGGGAGCAGGAGGAGAAGGGGUUGUUCCUGGAGUUAUGCCCCACACUAGGGCACCGAUGUUACAGUAAAGAGCUGGGGGGAGGGAUAUAAACGAUUCUAGGGGAUUUUUUGCAGGCCCUGGAGUGUGCUCUGGUGUUGUGGAAACAUGAAUACCCUCAUUUUACAGAUGCAUAAUGCCUGACGCUGAGCCCUUUGAGCACACUCUUUGCUCUCCAUGCGGAUGAUCCCRUGUCAUAUGUGGGGGAAACGCCUGCACGCUGACUAGAUCCGAUGGAGCCGAGCGCUUGAAACUGCUCUGGAAGUGGUGGUGCAGGUCCCCUACCUCUCCUGGGCUCUCUAGAGCCUGGGAAUGCUGACACCUUAAUGAGCCUCCCGCGGAGCACCCUGGGGCCCGGAUCACAGGAUGGCGCCUCUGAGGGAACAUAAGGACUGAAGAAUCUGGGGAUUGCAUAAGAGAAGCCACUUCAGAUUACUGCACGUUUCAAAUUGGCCUCAAAGAGGCUGGGCUGCCUGGUGUUGGGAAGAAUCGGAUUCAAGGAAUCGAGAGCAGGAAAUGCCUUUUGAGGUCAUGUGGCCUAUCUGCUAGACACGAUUCAUUUUGCUUCUGCACUGAGAAGAGCAGCAGUUUAAAAAUGCCAACAGAGCUAUGGGAGAAAAGCAAAAGUGGGCAAAGGUGAACUUAAAUUAGUGACAGCAGAUUGUCAGAGAGUAAUCAAAAUAUAUCUAAGUUUUGAUUUUAGAAUUUGCAUGAACAGUGACAGCCAUUAUGUGUGCAUGUGGGUCAUGUUUUA
rnacentral:lncRNA from 1 species